UGGAUGAGCUCAGGAUGGUUGGACAUUGCCUGUAUCAGAGAUUCUGUGCUCAUAGACUGGCAUUAUAUGACUGACAGAAUGCAACGGUUUGAGUUAAAAAUCUUUGUGUUCUACUGAAGAAACAAAAUCACCUACAUCUUGGAUGCCCUGGGGGCUGGUCAUCCAGGAACAUGUCACCGGGUGAACAAACCCGGAACAAAUUAAAUGGGACUUGUUGCUAGGGGGAGAACUUCCGGUGUAACACCGGGCCGGCUUUGGGUUUACCCGUCAUGGGUAUAAUGAGCGCCAGCUGAAGCAAAUAACGAGCGCUUCAUUGAAGCAUCCGCCCGGGAAAAAGGAGGAUAAAAGAGAGAGGCUGGAAGGACAGAGGGUGUGUGUGCCUGGAGAGAGAAGACGUUCUGAGUAGUGUGCAGCAGUGACAGUGAGCAGCGGAAAGUGCGGAAAAGCUGAGGUUUAAUGUCAGAUCGGUGUUCAUUGUUGGGUCCCCCGAGACAUGCUCAUUAAGUGAGUCCUUUGAAGAAACCACGAACAGCACCGCAACGAAGUGAGUGAGAGAAAUUGCAUGGAGAAAGAAGGAGAGUGACUGGCAGAACAGAGAGUGGGAAUACGCCACAAGGAUUCAUGUGAUUCACCGAGGAAAAGUUAAGUGCACCCUUUAUUGAUUCACUUCUCUGAGAAAACCACAUGUGAAGAUUCACCAGCACCAGUGUACGACUAACCUGUGUUUGUGGGCAGUGUGUGUCAUCUUGUUGACAGUGAGGAACAGUAACUGUGAACGGCUGGGAAGAUCGCUGAAUCCAUGUCCAUGUUCUGAACACCAUUAAUCCUUGAGACAUCCACCCUAUGAAGAGAAGAGAAACAAGUUGCUUAAUCGCUGUGAAGAGAGAGUGAGUUUGCAGUGUCUGAAAGAGUGAUUUAAACACGUGUGAAGCUUUACAAGAGUGAUUUAUGCACAAGUGUGCUGUGUCUAGAUCCCUGAAGUUGUGCGCGCAGUGCGGAGGAGAGAAUCCCAGCGCACUUAAAGUGCCACAGUUCACGUAACGCUGCGUUCCAUCAAAGGAGGCCAGUCCCACUCUUUCUCCCAACGACGCCGUUCUACCAUGCACAGAACGAGAGCGUAGGCUGGUAAAGUACCCCGAUUUCAUCUUACCUGCUAAUGUCCGUCUCACUGUCCAUUUGUCUGUUCCUGCAAGGAAGCCAAGAAAAAGCAGUUCCUGCUGGAAGUGGAGUGGUGGCUCCACGAGCACGACAACGAAGCUGAACGAGGGAAGCCACUGUCUGUCCCACGAGCCAUUCGAUGAGUCUUACGACGAAAGAAGCCACUGUCUGUCCCACGAGCCUAUUCGACGAGUCUUAUGACGAAAGAAGCCACUGUCUGUCCCACGAGCCAUUCGACGAGUCUUACGACGAAAGAAGCCACUGUCUGUCCCACGAGCCUAUACAAUGUGCCCUACGACGAGAGAAGCCCCUGUCUGUCCCACGAGCAGCCUAGAGAAGAAUAUACUUACCAAGAGCACGGGAAUAGUACCUACCAGCACCCCUCUCCCCUCUCUUCAUUAAAGCCACAGCCACGACCA